CACGGGAUGUAUAGUUCAGUAGUAGAGCAUUCGACUGUAGAUUGAAAGGUCUCGUUCAAGAGCCUGGAUCUCGUGA